rnacentral:rRNA from 1 species
ACGCUGGCGGCAGGCUUAACACAUGCAAGUCGAACGGUAGCAGGUAAGUACUUGUACUUAUGCUGACGGGUGGCGGACGGGUGAGUAAUGCUUGGGGAUCUGGCUUAUGGAGGGGGAUAACGACGGGAAACUGUCGCUAAUACCGCGUAGAAUCGAGAGAUGAAAGUGUGGGACCUUCGGGCCACAUGCCAUAGGAUGAACCCAAGUGGGAUUAGGUAGUUGGUAGGGUAAUGGCCUACCAAGCCGACGAUCCCUAGCUGGUCUGAGAGGAUGACCAGCCACACCGGGACUGAGACACGGCCCGGACUCUACGGGAGGCAGCAGUGGGGAAUAUUGCGCAAUGGGGGGAACCCUGACGCAGCCAUGCCGCGUGAAUGAAGAAGGCCUUCGGGUUGUAAAGUUCUUUCGGUGACGAGGAAGGUUGUUGUGUUAAUAGCGCAACAAAUUGACGUUAAUCACAGAAGAAGCACCGGCUAACUCCGUGCCAGCAGCCGCGGUAAUACGGAGGGUGCGAGCGUUAAUCGGAAUAACUGGGCGUAAAGGGCACGCAGGCGGACUUUUAAGUGAGGUGUGAAAUCCCCGGGCUUAACCUGGGAAUUGCAUUUCAGACUGGGGGUCUAGAGUACUUUAGGGAGGGGUAGAAUUCCACGUGUAGCGGUGAAAUGCGUAGAGAUGUGGAGGAAUACCGAAGGCGAAGGCAGCCCCUUGGGAAUGUACUGACGCUCAUGUGCGAAAGCGUGGGGAGCAAACAGGAUUAGAUACCUUGGUAGUCCACGCUGUAAACGCAGUCGAUUUGGGGAUUGGGCUUUGAGCUUGGUGCCCGUAGCUAACGUGAUAAAUCGACCGCCUGGGGAGUACGGCCGCAAGGUUAAAACUCAAAUGAAUUGACGGGGGCCCGCACAAGCGGUGGAGCAUGUGGUUUAAUUC